UGUCCUUGACUCGGGUAGAGUGAUGUCUGAUUGGUGCUGCCUAUCUCGUAUAAGCCAGGGACAAAUCAAUGCCUUAUUUAUCCCGGCUUGGCUUUUGGUCUGUGCCCAUACCUGGUUUAUGCCUUGGACACACGG
ensembl:snoRNA